GGAUGACCUGCUUACUGGGCUACCCAUUACUGAUCUUGAGAACACAUGUUGUGUUGAACUUGCUGUCUCACCAAAGCCACUUGCCCACAGACCCAUCCCAAGCGGGAUCCUUGAAUGGUGCUUUCCAUGACUGAAGAACCCUUGAUCAGCAAGGCAUGCCAAGGUAUUGUAAAGAGAGAGAGGGAAUAGAGUUGAUGGAGUGAUAGUUGUUUGAUUGAAACAGGCAUGGUUCUACAUUGGGCGGUAAACUUAGUAUCGGGAAUAAUAACAAUAAUUUGACUGAUUUAUUGUUGUUAUGUAGUUUCUAAAAGUAAUUG